UAGCUCUUGGUCUUGGCAGUGGUAAAGGAGGGAAAGAAGUGCGAAAGCUGGCCUCAUAGCCUUUCAGUCUGGUAUACAGCAUGUGGGCUAGCUUCAAAUAUGG
rnacentral:snoRNA from 1 species